AUGAUGGUCAAACGUUAGAAAACGCAGUGAAAAAUGAACUACUUAGUCGCUUUGGUUUUCGUCCUUUGUGUUAUUUGUGUGUUGUACACGAACGGGUUGCCCCAAGUUGAUCACCAUGAUCACGCUGGAUUGCAUGGUGAUCAUCACCACGAUGCUGCCUGUGGAAGGAGAUCCACCACCACCACCACAACCACAACAGCUGCUUCAACCUAAGGUUGAUUAUUAAUGAGGGGUUUUAUGUUUGAUGUUCAAUAAAGUUGAUCAGUAAAAU